CCCAAGAAGCAAUGUAAAGUUUGAAACGAGCCGAGCGCGGUGGCUCACGCCUGUAAUCCCAGCACUUUGGGAGGCCGAGGCUGGCGAAUCAUUUGAGUAGAGACGGGGUUUCACCGUGUUAGCCGGGAUCCAUCUCCUGACUUCGUGAUCCGCCCGCUUCGGCCUCCCAAAGUGCUGAGAUUACAGACGUGAGCCACCGCGCCCUGCCUAUAUUAGGUUUUUAAAUAGCAGGAGGCAAAGCUUUUCGGUGUGAUCCUGACUUCACUUGGGGAAAAAGGGCAGACACAGGGUCUCACUGUGUUGGCCAGGCUGGAGUGCGGCAGUCUGGAACUCCUGGGCCCAAGUGAUCCUCCAAUCAGCCUCACAAAGCACUGGAAUUACAGGUAGCUCAGAGAGCUGCGCUGGAGGAGAAAAGCCAGUCCUGGCAGGAGCUCUGGUACCUGGGAAGCUGGAUGGAGAGCCUGGGCCAGAAUCCCGGACCCCUCACCUCUGCGGCCUAGCUUUGUGACCUUGGCAAAUCCAUUCUAUGCACCUCCAUUUCCUGUACAGUGGGGAUCCUUAUUUCUCUGGCACAGAUUGGUAUUUGUUCUGUAAAGCCCAGUACCACUUUAUUUUAUUUUAGUUAUUGAUUUUUUUGAGACAGGGCCUCACUCUGUUGCCAAGGCUGGAAUGCAGUGGCGAGAUCAUAGCUCACUGCAGCCUCAAACUCCUGGGCUCAGGCCAUCCUCCUGCCUCGGCCUCCUGAGUAGCUGGGACGACAGGCGUGCACCACUGCGCCUAGCUCCAGUACCAUGUUUAAACGGUGCUCAGAAAACGUGCUAAACUUGGUGGAUGGGAAUUGAAAAGAGAUUUAAUGUUUUAAAAAUCAAAGUCACUCAGCUGCAGUGCCACAUGGGAAGGAGGCCUGGAUGUGAAUGUUCCUGGGAGCUGAGAGCUCCUGUGACUGUCGCCAGUUUCCUGUGGUCUCCCACAGACUCAGGACAUCUCCCUCUGCUCCAGGACACCUCAGGACCACCAGAGGGCACUCAUCGCACCUUCACCCCUGGAAGGGAGCUGGUCCUGGGGCCAAAACCCACUGUGCCUGGGAAGCCCUUCCUGGCUUCUGCUCUCCUCAAUGUAUGACAGCCCUGAUUUACCC
rnacentral:lncRNA from 1 species